rnacentral:precursor_RNA from 14 species
AACGGAAGAUUUGCUAUACUUGUUCCGCCCUAGCAGCACGUAAAUAUUGGUGUAUAAAAGUAAAUCAAACCCCAAUAUUAUUGUGCUGCUUAAGCGUGGCAGAGAUUCAGCAGCUUGUUUAUC